rnacentral:rRNA from 1 species
AUUGAACGCCGGCGGAAUGCUUUACACAUGCAAGUCGAACGGCAGCACGGGGCAACCUGGUGGCGAGUGGCGAACGGGUGAGUAAUACAUCGGAACGUGCCCAAUCGUGGGGGAUAACGUAGCGAAAGUUACGCUAAUACCGCAUACGCUCUACGGAUGAAAGCGGGGGAUCGCAAGACCUCGCGCGAAUGGAGCGGCCGAUGUCAGAUUAGGUAGUUGGUGGGGUAAAGGCUCACCAAGCCAACGAUCUGUAGCUGGUCUGAGAGGACGACCAGCCACACUGGGACUGAGACACGGCCCCGACUCCUACGGGAGGCAGCAGUGGGGAAUUUUGGACAAUGGGCGCAAGCCUGAUCCAGCCAUUCCGCGUGCAGGAUGAAGGCCUUCGGGUUGUAAACUGCUUUUGUACGGAACGAAACGGCUCUCUCUAAUACAGGGGGCUAAUGACGGUACCGUAAGAAUAAGCACCGGCUAACUACGUGCCAGCAGCCGCAGUAACAC